AGAAGAGAGCAGCCUGGCCGUGGCCUUCAGCCGCUCGCAGGACGGGGCG
rnacentral:SRP_RNA from 15 species